rnacentral:lncRNA from 10 species
CCGGCUGCUUUGUUUACCCAAGCAAGCCUGGGCAAUGGCGGGCGCCCCUCCCCCAGCCUUGCUGCGGCCUUGCAGUUUGAUCUCAGACUGCUGUGCUAGCAAUCAGCGAGACUCCGUGGGCGUAGGACCCUCCUAGCCAGGUGCAAGAUAUAAUCUCGCGGUGCGCCGUUUUUUAAGCCGGUCCGAAAGCGCAAUAUUCGGGUGGGAGAGACCCGAUUUUCCAGUGAGAUGAACCCAGUACCUCAGAUGGAAAUGCAGAAAUCACCCGUCUUCUGCGUCGCUCACGCUGGGAGCUGUAGACCGGAGCUGUUGCUAUUCGGCCAUCUUGGCUCCUCUCCUGCACUGCAAGAAUGGACUAAUACGCUAUGUGAAGACAAAGGGGAUGUCUGCAAGCCAGGACGAGUGCGUCUACCAGAAACUGAGUUCUGCUGGACUUUGAUCUAGGACAUCCAGCCUCCAGAAUGGAAUGUGCCAUAUGUGGAGACCUGCAUGGAAAGGAACUGAGGAUGCUCUCUCACUAAAAGCUAGAAGGAACUGAGGCCCUCAGUCAACAGUCUACAAGACACUGAAUCUUGCCAGCAGCCAAGCAGUGAGCUUGAAAGCAGAUCUAUCAUCAGCUGAACCUUCAGAUGAGACCGCAGCCUAAGCAGAUACCUUGGUUGCAGCCAUGUGAGACAACCUGAAACAGAGGGCACAGCUAAGCCUCAGCCAGGUUCAUGACCCUCUGAGGAAACUGUGAGAAAGCAAAUGUCAUUUUAAGCUAUUUAAUUUUGGAGGUAGUUUAUUACACAACAAUAAAUAACUAUUAUAAUUAUCUUGAGGAUUUAUUUCCUGGGGAGAAUACAUGGAAUUGCAUAUAUAGGUCCUCAUAUGCAGAAUACUGGUACCCUAGAGAUGUUCACCCCAGAGAUGUUUUAGGAACCUGUGAAUAUGUUACAUUAAAUGGCAAAGUUUUCCUGGAUGGUUUAAGUUUAAGAUGGAAAAGUUUUACUGGAUUAUCCAGUGGGUCCAAUCUAGUAACAUGAGUCCUUAAAAAUGGAGAAUAUUUUUUGGCCAUGAUCAGAGAGACAUGUGAUGAUGGAAAAAGUGUCAGAGAUGCAAUGUGAGGGGACUAAAACUGCUGUUGCUGACUUUAAAGAUGGAGAGAGGGGAACCCGAGUCAAGGAAUGCAAAUGGCCUCUGGAAGCUGGAAAAAGCAAGAAAUGGAUUCUCCUUUAGAGCCUGUGGAAUAAAAUGCAGUCAUGCUGACACCUUGAUUUUACCUCAGUGAGACCAAUACUGGAGUAUGACCUUCGGAGCUGAAUAAAAUUAUACGUACACAUCUUAAUUUCUUGGGAUUUGAUUACUUCUUCUGCUUUGAAAUUAGACCAAGUUUAGCCUGCCUUUGCUAUUUUGGCGUAUCUCCAAUUCUUCAUGAUUUUCUCAUAGAUGGGGUUGCACUAUGCUGCCUGAGCUGGUCUGGAACUCCUGGGCUGUAAUGAUCCUCUGGCCUCCUCAGCCUCCCAAAAUGUUGGGAUUACAGCGCAAAGGCCACAUAAGGACAGUGAGAAGGCAGCCACCUGCAAGCCAGGAAGAAAGGUCUCACCAGAUACCAACCCUGCCAGCAUGUUGAUCUUGGACUUCCAGCCUCCAAAACUGGCCUUCUGCUCACAUGGGCUUCCGUGCACCUGCUUCAGGAGACAGCAACACUUGCGCCCGCACCGCGGCAGGCUCCCAUCACCUGGUGGAUAUGCCGCGCCGAGUCUCAUCACACCUUAGUGAAGGAACACAUGGACCCAUAUGUUAGCGGAUGUAUUUACAUCGUUUUAUACAGAAAGGGGAAGAAAACUGCAUACCUCAGAAAGGGGUUGCUCCUCACUCUGAGUACUAGACUAAAGAUAAAAAGACUAGAUAAAAGUACUAGACUAAAGACAGAGCUGACCCAUGACAGGAAACCAAUACAGAGUUUUGUACUGGAAAGUGAGGUGCUGCUGUAACAAGUACCUGAGAAUGUGGGAGUGGCUUUGGAAUUCAGAAUUGGGUAAUGAGUAGAGGUUUGAAGAAUUUUGAAGCCUUUAUUGCUUUGAAGAGAUUAUUUGUGAAAAUAUGAAUGUUACAGGUGCUUCUGGUGAAAACUCACAUGGAAAUGAGGAACAUGUUAUUGGAAACUGGAAGGUGUAUAUCUAGAAGUGUAAUUGCUGGAUCAUAUGGUUACUAUAUGUUUAACAUUUUGGGGAACUGCCAAACUAUUUUCCAAAGUGGCACAAAGGAGAAUAUAGGAAAAAAUGUAGUUGAAAGGUAAAUUGAUUUUAUUAAUGUUGAAUUUGGAGUGUUUACAAGACAUAAAGAAGGGUAUUUUCAGAAGAUUGAUAGCUAUAUGGGUCUUAUGCUUAGGGGAAUAGUAUGAGUUUGAGAAACAGGUCUUGGCAUCGUCAACAUGUACAAUUAAAGAUGUGAGAAACCAACAGCUCACCCAAAGAAAGUAGACAUUACCACAAGGAAGACUUACAUAUCUAAGGUCAAUUCAGAUAGCAUGCAUACACUGUGUGAUGGAGGGCAGGAAAGGUGGAGAUUAAUUAGGACUUGGCAGGCAAUUGAUCAGAAUUUUUUUUCCCAUAGCAAGAAGAUUUGCUUCGUGGGAGGAUUUCACUGGGCAGAGCUGGACAUACAGAGAGCAGAGAAGGACAUUCCCACAUAGAAUCUUAAAUCUUGAAUGCUAGGGAAGAGCCUACUAAGCGGAAAAGUGUGGGAAAGGCUUCCAAACAUGGGAAAUGGCAUAUAUAAAGGCAUAGUUGUUCAAAAUGUCUUCAUUUGAACUUCAGGAUAAUUAAACAAUUAGCAUCCAUUUGUUUGUCAGUCUGUGCCAGCAUUUUAUUAGGUGCUGCACACAAAUUAUCUCAUUUAAACCUUACAACAAUCUUCAUUCUAGAGAUGAGGAAACAGACACAAAGAUGUUAUAUUAACUAGCUAUCAAAGAUGACAUAGCUGGAAAAUGGUAAAGUCUUGGUAAAACCCAGGGAGUUUGAGACUAGAGCCUGCACCUGACAUGUGAAGCAACUCAUCGAAAUAAUUUUAAGUAUUAAAGACCAUUAGUCAGCACCAGUGGUGUGCUCCUGGUAGCUGAUAAGGCGCUCCCAAUCUUGGUACCACUUGAUGAUCUAGUGGCUUACUUGAUAUGUUUUUCAUUGUUCUUUUUCUUUUCUUUUCUUUUCUUUUCUUAGAUGGAGUCUUGCUCUGUCACACAUGCUAGAGUCCAGUGGUAUGACCUCAGCUCACUGCAAUCUCUGCCUCCCGGGUUCAAAUGAUUCUUCUGCCUUGACCUCCCUGGCAGCUGGGACUACAGGCCUGCACCACCACGCCUGGCAAAUUUUUUAAUUUUUUUUAGUAGAGAUGGGGUUUCACCAUGUUGGCCAGGCUAGUCUCGAACUCCUGACCUCAAAUGAUCUGCCCGCUUUGGCCUUCCAAAGUUCUGGGAUUAUAGGAGUGAGCCACCAUGCCCAGCCUGUUCUUAAGUCUCCUAGAACAGGGAUUCUGAAACACAAAACUCAUCUGGUGAGAAGAAUGAGAGCAAGAGAGGUUAAAUGGGUCGUUCAAGUUCAUAAAGUACUGACAGAAGAUGACCCUGAACUGUUCUCACUAUAUUAAAAGUCAGACAAGUAUUAUUAUUAUUAUUACUAAUAUAAGUAGCUCCAAUUUAUGUGAUUCUCAUGAUUUGGAGGACCUUACCUAUAUUAGCUUAUUUAAUCUACACAGCAAACCUAGAUGGUAAAUAUUUUCAUUGCCAUUUUACAGAGGAGGAACUGAGGUUCCUGAGGGUUAGGAAACUUGUAACAUGAACUCCAUACAGAUAUACAGAAUGAUAUAAACAAAUAAACAAAUACAUAAAUGUGGAAGAAGUAAAAGCUCUUCCUUGGAGUAAAAGGCCACCUAAUAAAUGAGGCAGGAAUGAUAAAAUUAGAGAAAUCAUUUGCAAACAUCACAGUAUUAAUUGCUUAAAGGAAGAAUUAUAAAUAGAUAAUAAAGCUAGUGGGUGAAACAUUAAUGGGACUAAGAUAUUUAUCUAGCCCCAAAAGUUUUGCUCCAUAAAAAUACUUACUUAGGCUGGGCAUGGUGGUGCACACCUGUAAUUCUAGCACUUUGGGAGGCCGAGGUGGAAGGAUUACUUGAGCUUAAGAGUUCAAUGGCAGCCUGGACAACAUAGUGAGACCGCAUCUCUAAAAAAAAAAUUAGCCAGGUGUGGUAGUGCGUGUAUGUAUUCUCAGCUACUCAGGAGGCUGAGGUAGAAGGGAUCGCUUGAGCCCCAAGUUGAGGCCACAGUGAGCUGAGAUUGCACCACUGCACUCCAGCCUGGGUUACAGAGAGUGAUCCUGUCUCAACAAUAAAAUAAAAUAAAAUGAAAAAAAUAUUUAUUACAAAUGAAAAAAAUGACAUGUUUACACUGGAGAGGCCUACAGGCAUCAUCUUAACCAAUGAUCAAAGUUAAUAUCUACACGAAUAGGACAAAUAAUAUCAUUUCCCUCCUGACCUCAUGCAUGUUUAAAACACAACAUAACUUCUUGGUUAUUUCUGUCAAGAGUGCAUAACCUGAAACUAAUCAUAAGAAACCACCAGAUGACCCCACGAUGAGAGGUAUACUAAAAAAUAACUAAGCUAUUAUUUUAUUUUAUUUAUUUUUUGAGACAGAGUCUUGCUCUGUUGCCCAGGCUGGAGUGCAGUGGCGCAAUCUCAGCUCACUGCAACCUCAGCCUCCUGGGUUCAAGAGAUUCUCCUGCCUCAGCCUCCCAAGUAGCUGGGAUUACAGGCUUCUUUUUGUAUUUUUAGUAGAGAGGGGGUUUCACCAUGUUGGCCAGGCUGGUCUCAAACUCCUGACCUCAGGUGGUCCACCCACCUCGGCCUCCCAGUUUUGGGAUUAUAUGCGUGAGCCACUGCACUCAGCCACCAGACUUUUUUUUUUUUCUUUUUACUUUUUUUGAGACAGCAUCUCCCUCUGUCGCCCAGGCUGGAGUGCAAUGGCACAAUCUUGGCUCACUGCGACCUCCGCCUCCCAGGUUCAAGUGAUUCUCCUGUCUCAGCCUCCUGAGUAGCUGGAACUACAGGCGCCCGCCACCACGCCCGGCCAGUUUUUGUGUUUUUAGUGGAUAUGGGGGUUUCACCAUGUCGGUCAGGCUGGUCUCGAACUCCUCACCUCAGGUGAUCUGCCCGACUCAGCCUCCCAAAGUGCUGGGAUUAUAGAUGUGAGCCAUCGUGCCUGGCCUAUUUUGAAAGCAACAUAUAAUCCAACUUUUUCUUUUGUUAUAAAGAGCAAUAUAGGAACAAGGAGUGAAACACCAAGGCAAUUUGACAGUUAAAUGGUAGAAGUAGAUCAGUGUUAAUUUCCUGAUUUUGUAAUUAUACUGUGGUUAUGUAACAGAAUGUUCUUGUUUUAGAAAGUACACAUUGAAUAAUCAAUGGUCAUCUUGUCUGUAACUUAAUUUCAAAUGUUUCAAUAAAAAUAUGUGUAUGUUUGUGAGUGAUAAAACAAAUGUAGUAAUGUGUUAACACUGAAAAACUCUGUGAGAAGAUAUACUGGAAUUCUUUCUAUUAUUAUUUUUAAAUUUUCUUUAAAUCUAAAAUUAUGUCAGAAAGAAAGCUAAGGGCUGAGUACACUAGCUGAUGCCUGUAAUUCCAGCAGUUUGGGAGGCUGAAGCAGGAGGAUUGUUUGAGGCCAGGAGUUUGAGAUCAGCCUGGGUAACAUAGUGAAACUUCAUCUCCAUAAAAUAUUUUAAAAAUUAGCUGGGUGCAGUGGCAUGAACCUGUAGUCCUAGCUAGUUGGGAGGCUGGGGCAAGAGGAUUGCUUAAGCCCAGAAGUUCAAGGCUGCAGUGAGCUAUGAUUGUGCCGCUAUACUCCAGCCUGGGCCACAGAGCAAGACUCUAUCUCAAAUAAAUAAAUAAAUAAAGUUAAAGAAAAUAAAAAGAAAUCUACUACAGCCUCAGCUCUGGGAAUUAAACCAAUCCAGUCUUCCUGAGCUCAGAGGCCAUGCUCUCUAUCCUCAUGCAUCAGCGGGUAUGUGAAUGCCUGUGUUUCCUCAUCUUGACGGAGUUGUUCUUGCCUUAUACCUGAGUCUUCUACUUAUUACCAUGAGGCAGGGGGUUCUAUUUACUUAGAUUUAUAUCUCUCAUGUAAUUUCAGUAACACUGAUGAGCUUUGGUAGACAGUGCAGUACAAAUGUGAAGUCUUGAAUCUCUUAAUUAUCCUUUGUGAACUCAGUUUUCACAUCCAAAAGGAGGUAUAACAAUAUCUACCUCAAGGAUUGUUGUGAGAAAUAAAUGUAAUCAUUAGGGGAAAAUACAUAUAUUUUGAAAGACAUGGUGGUUUUUUAAAACAAUGUUAAUUGUUGCUCCAGACUAAAUGUGUUUCAUCUGCUAUUCCUCACCUCCCCACAAAAUUCAUACAGUAAAACCUUAGUCCUCGAUGUGAUGGUAUUUGCAGGUGGGGCCUUUGGGAAGUAAUUAGGAUUAGAUUAGGUCAUUGGGAUGAGGCCUUCAUAAUGAGAUGAAUGCCCUUAUAAAAAGAGGAAGAAACACGGGAUCCCUCCCUCAGCAAUGUGAGGAUACAGCAAGAAGGUAGCUGUCUGCAAACAAGGAAGUGAGCCCUCACCAGAUACUGGAACUGUGAGAAAUAAAUGUAAUUGUUUAAACCACCCAGUCUACCAGUCUAUGGCAUUUUUGUUGUAGCAUCUCAAACUGACCAUGACAAUUGUGUUUUUCUCUUCCCUUUUGUAUGUACCAUGACAUGUAGUUUACGCACUGAGAGCAUCUAAAGAAUUUGAAUGAGGAGCAAAGCUUUUUCAAAGGUUGGAUUAAACUACAAUUGUCCUCUCCAAAGAAUGUUCAGCUAUCCUUUAUGUACUCUGUUGCAAGUAUUUCAAGAAGGAGGCAAAGAGUUCUAAGAUGCAUUUCACAGCACUCCACAGAAGGAAGGUUCAGAGCCAAUCAUCUGCACCAGUGCCCAACUUAAAAACAUCCUUGUAUCAGUUUUCCCUUAUUUCCUGUUCUCCUCCCUAAACCUUCAGUCCUGUUCCUGGCAAUCACUUCCAGAAUAAACCAUAUACAUGCCUCAGAUUCUGAUCUCAGAGGAUCCCAGACUAAUACAGAGAUACACUAUGCUGAUUGCUUAACCCGCAUUUUCUCAUUUAAUUGAAACAUAUACGUGGUAAGGUAUUUAUUCAUACCUGCAUGAUUUUGUAGAUAAACCUUAGAGAAAUUAAUACUUUUCAGAAGGCAAUUAAAGUAACACAGCAAGCAAUUGAUAAAACCUGGAUUCGCCAAGUUAAACUGGUCUGGUUUCAAAACCUGUAUUGUUUCCUAACAUACCACCUAAAUUCUCAAAUGGUAUUGGAAGGGGUUAAAUGAGAUUAUAAAUGUAAAAUUCUUGGUAUAGUUAAUUCUCAAAAAUAGGCCUUCAAUCUAUAGAAUCCAUUUGUAGAACUAUCUUCAGGAAGGAAAAAUACAUCACCCUCCACCCCACCCUCAAAGAAACAUGGAAAAUUUAAACUAAGACUUCAAAUCUUGAGCUCUGCACAUCUUAGAAUAUUUUGUUUCUAUGAAAAAGAAGCUUUGGAGAAUGUGUAUCAGUCUGAAACACUGUAGUGUGAGCACAGAAAUCAGCCCAUCACAUUAUGCCCCAAAUGCUGAAGUACGGCUGAAUCUGAUUGCCCUGCAUUUUUAAGUACUGCAAAAUUCUGGGACUUGGGAUCAUCUGUUACUACAGACUUGUCAUAUUCCACUGAAAUAAAACAUAUAGUCUAAUUUGCAAAGUUCUCGUGUGGAAAGAGUCCUAAAAUGUAUAUAACCUCUGUCCCAGCAAUUCCAUUAGGAAUUUAUCCAAUCCAAAAUCUAAAAUGCAGAAGAUCUACAUAUUGAAUGCUUAUGGCAGCAUUCUUUAAAAUUAUGAAAAUUGAAAGCAACCAAAAUCCUCAAAAACAGACUAAUGGCUAAGUAGUAUAACCAUACUAUGAAAUGUGGUAAUUGAAUAUUCAAAUUUGUGUUGUAUAAAAAAUUAAUAAUGGUAUAACAUUUGGCUAUAAAAUAGAAUGAAUUCAAUUGUAUUUUUUAAACCAGUACAUCUGCAUAUUUGUGAACCUAAAAGAUAAGACGGUAAAUAUUUAACUGUAUUUUUCUUUAAUUGUUGGGGCUGUGAAUUAUUUUAAUUUUCUUAAUGCUUUUUAAUCUUCUCUGAAAAUUUUAUAAUAAUCUCUAAUAAUAAUUUAUAGCAAAAAAACCCAAAAUUUUAAAGGGUAUUCUUUUUGUAUUUUUAUCAAGAAUAAAAAUAUAUAUCAAU